AGGAUCCGAGUUCGUGGUUCCCCUGCGGGCUAGGAAAGUCGAACUACCGUUACCGAGGGUCGUGUCCUUAGAUUUUAACCGAGUCACCGUGAUGGGACUGAUAUUCCACCCUCUUCAGCUGCACGUCGUAAUCUCAGGGUUACAUCUACAGGUACCAAAUUCCAUGAUAUGCUGAUUCCCACUGGUUCAUAGAGGUGGCCUUAGUUCGGGUCUGGAGUCGCUUUCUGUAGCCCGUCGGUGCUAACUGCAUUCUUAGUGCAGUGAUCGCGGACAAGCAAAGAUAGCCCGAGACGCUGCUCAGAGUUUCCAAAGUGCAAAAAAAACCCACUCGGAAGAGAAACUUCAUGAACAUAAAGAUUGUGACAAAGUCUUCAGGUUAGUCAUUCACAGACGUGCACAGAGCAGUGAAAAAUCUGUGACCAGAUGGACAUGUUCCCAGCUGAGACUGAACUAGGUGGCACUCUGCUUUGUUCCAGUUCUUAUACUGUAAACCAGUGUCCUCUCCACGGUACGUUCAGUGCAUGCUUAUUGCAUUGUUGUGCUGCUUGGUGGUUUGCUGUUUGCGGUGGCCCUGAGGCGUGGUGCUGAAGCGCCGUCUAGUGCUCCUAGCUGCAAGGAGGCUGCGACGUGCCUUGUGGAGGACGUGUGCGCUGCUGGCCGUGAGCUCAAUGUCAAUGAUCGACAACAGAUAUUUUAAAAGUUUCUUUAAACAGCAGCACACAUGAAACAAGGUUGUGUGUUAAUUGAUUGAUGAAAACGUUGCGAACUGCAGCUCCCAGGAACCGAACUGUGUUCCCCCAGAAGCAGUUCUCAGCUACUUUAUAGAACCACCUCGAAUAAAGAGAAUCGGCUGAGUAUGAAUAUCUGUAUUUGCACGUAUGGGAUUUGUGAUCUAUCCUCUGAAGAGGCUGCGCGAGCAGGAAAGACUGUAGUAGUGGAGACCGGCGUGUGCAAGAGCCAGGAAGUGGCCCUGGGGAUGGAGCGUUAGGAGCGGCUGUGCAGGCGCGGCCCGCGCGGGGAGGCAGCGCCGAGCAUGCUGGGUCCUCUCCGCCUCGCUCUCGCAGGGGCUUCACGGCCCUGCUGUCGGCGUCCGGCGGUCCAAACAGCCGCCAGAGCUGCCAGGGAGGGAGGACGCCGCGGCCGCCAGCGCUGGCUGGGGGUCAACGCGGCCCCGCCCACCGCACGCUCGCGUCCGGAGGAACGCUGCGCCGCAGGCGCGUUUCUGGAGGAGCGAAUUCGGCGUCGGACCGAGGCCCUACGUCGGUUCCGGCGGCGACCGCGGCGCAUGGAGGCCCUAGGACGUCCUCCUCGGGAGACGGCGGCGGCCCCAGGCGCAGGAACCCCAGCGCACAGCGACGCCGCCUCGAGGGCGCGCCCCGGCGGCGCUGAAGGCGACGCGGCCUCUAGGAAGCAAAAGAAGAAAAAGAAAACCCGGAGCGGGGCCUCCGUAGCGAAUGGCGGCAGCAAGGCCUCAGAAAAGCCGGCCCCGGAGGAAGCUCCCCUAAGCGCGGAGGCCCAGGCAGAGCAGCUGGCCCGGGAGCUGGCGUGGUGCGUGGAGCAGCUGGAGCUGGGCCUCAAGACGCAGAGACCCAGCCCGAGACAGAAAGAGCAGGCUGUUGGGGCAAUCCGAGCCCUGCGCAGCGAAAGAACCCCCCUGCCCCGGAAGAGGCAGCUGAUGCGCUCCUUGUUUGGGGACUACAGGGCGCAGAUGGAAAGCGAGUGGCGCGAGGCGCUGCGGGCCCUCAGGACUGGUGGCCUCAGUGGCUGUGAUGUCAUUUUUGCCCGCGUCUCCCAAACUUGCAUCCCAGACUGCAUAGAUGCCUGGAGCCUAACUGCCUACUCAAGGUCUGCAUUUGGAUGUUUUGUGGGCAUCUCAAACUUGACAUGUCCAAAACAUGUGGUCAGCCUCCGGAUCUCUUCUCGUCUUCUGCUUUUCACAGAGGGGGGGCUCUCCCCCUUCCUUGAGUCCCAUUGUCUCCUGAAAAAUGGAAGUGUAUCUCUCACCCUCCGGAUGCUUGGACAGGCCGGGCUCAGUGAUACACCCUCAGUCCCUUGAGGUUUCAGAGCCCCAUCAGUGGCCAUCUGCAACUGCAUAUACCCUGGGUAUCCUGGAGCUCCCGGGAAGCCCCCAGCCUGGUUUGUCCACUUGCUGUGCCCCUGUGGGAUUCACUAAAAGCUGAUCACCUGGCCAGAACCACCCUCCAGUCAAAUUGAUUAACUAAAGAGAAAGAUGAAAUCAGUGAAGAACUUGACCAAAGAAAAGUCCUGGGAGAGGCAGGUCUGAAUAAAGCUCGAAGAUUUGCAGAAGACAUAAUAUUGGAUAAAGCCACUGCUCACCCUUACCUUGCUGUGUCAGAUGAUGAGAAAUGUGUGAAAUCUGUUCCAGAAAAACAGGACCUUCCUGACAAUUCUGAGCGAUUUGAUACUCUGGUGGCUGUGCUCGGUCAAAACAGCUUCUCUGAUGGUGAGCAUUACUGGGAGGUUGAAGUAGCAGGGAAGAACAGGUGGGCAAUAGGACUGUGUGUGGACUCAGUUAACCGGAAAGGGCAAGACAUCUCUGCUGGCCCUGAGAAUGCCUUCUGGACCAUAUCCCUGAAGAAUGAUGUAUACAAAGCCCUUUCCACCCCCCCGUUCCGUUCUUAAUGUCCCAGAACCUCCCUUGAUAGUGGGUAUUUUUCUGAGAUACGAGAAAGGGUUGAUCUCUUUCUACAAUGUGACAGACUUUACCAUUCUCCACACUUUCAAAAGUAAGUUUACUCAGCCCCUGAAGCCAUAUUUCUAUCCUGGACGUCUCAGUCAGGAUAACAGUAAUGGCCUCACCAUUCUUGAGGUAUCAGCAACAGAUCCUGCUGUCUCUCUUGCUGUCUCUCUUUAGAACACAGCUAGAUAGUACAGGGCUCAUCUGCAUGGAUCAUGAAAGCAUGGAGCCAUUUCCCAACCAGAAGGCUGCAAGCUGGGGAAUGUAAGGAUUUGCUCUCAGGACCCAGUCUCCUUCACAGUCUUGUGGGAGACUGAGAAUAAUUCCUCUCAUUGGGCAUUUCCACUGCUCAUCUCUGCAACCCAUCUUCCCUUAAUGCACUUUCUUUAAACCCUUUUGAUUUUAAGAAAUGCAAAGCUCUCUCAUCCUUCCUAGAUUUGAGGGUAAGAUUCUGAAACUAGUUAGCUACUUUCCUCAACAAAUCACUGACUACAUUUCUCAGUGUGCAUUAUAGCAGAUGGAUUUAUGUAUGUUUCUGUUUCACCAAUAAGUUUCGGCUCCUCAAGGCCAGAGACCAUGUGCUAUUUGUUUUUUUACCAUCUUUGUGUCAAAAUGAGUGCUUUAAGCAGGUUCCUAUACUGGAUAACGUUGAAUUCAGUAUAAUUGAAUCCUAUCUACAACCAGACUGACACAUGUGUUCAAUGACAUUUUUAUGCAUCUUCUACCAUUUUUCGUAGCCCCUUCUCUGGCUCCUUUAAGGCAUAUGACUAUAAAUUAUGCGUCUGAGAUAUAACCCAUGCUAUCUGCCUCUGAAGCCCAUGCCAUUAAGCAUUACACUGUGGUGUCUAAUAUAAAUGGUAUAUGGUCCUACAUACCACCCAUAGACAGGCUAAAAUUAAAGAAAACAAAAACAAUGAAGUAGUAGAGCUGACACAUGUUGCUGGAGGGAGUAUAAAAUGGUACAAUACAUUUUAGAAAAAGCUUGGCAGUUUCUUAUAUAGUUAAACAUAUAACUAUUCUAUGAUCAGCAAUUCAACUUCUACGUAUUUACUCCAGAUAAAUGAAAGCAUAUGGAUACAAGAGCUUGUCCAAGAAUGGUCAUGGCAGAUUUAUUAACAAUAGCUAUAAACUAGAAACAACAGAAAUGUCCAUCAAUGGGAGAAUGUAUAAAUACAUUUCAAGACAUUUAUUCAGUGGGGUAGUAUUCGAAAUUUAAAAAUAAUAAAUACUUAUAUAUGCAAUAAUAUGAAUGAUUCUCAAAGAUAUGCUGAGCAAGAGAAACGACACAAUUUACAUAGUGUUAUAUUUCCAUAUGAAGGAAGUUCUUAGAGAUAAAAUUAAUGUAUCAUGAACAAAUCAGAUAAGUAGUUGCUUUGGGGACAGAUUGGGAAUGAGCAUAAGUUAACUUUCUGGAGUAAUAGAAAUGUUAUAUAUCUCAAUAGGGAUAAGGAUUUCAUUGAUGUAUGCAUGGGCCAAAAUACAUCUGGGUGUAUAUUGAAAAUUUUUGCAUUUCAUGGUGUGGCUGUCGUUCUCCAAGGUGGCCCCACUGUCCCUUGUCUCCUGUUACUAAUGCCUUUUUGUAGAUACUCCAUCACUGAAUAAGAGUUAUGACCAAUAGAACACAGUGGAGUUAACAGCACUCCAGGUUAGGUCCUAAAAGGCAUUGCAGCAUCUGCUUUUAUCCCUUGGGUCUCUCACUCUGGGAAAAUCAGGCACUAUGCCAUGAGGGCGUGCAAAUAGUCUUAUUGAGAGGCUCAUGUGAAGAGAAACCAAAUCCUCCUGCUAAUAGCCAUGAGGAUGAGUCACUUUGAAGUGGCUCAUCCAGCCCCGUCUAACCAACACUGGACUGCAACUUCAUGAGAGAUGGAGCCACAACCACCCAACCAAGUCCCCAAAUGCCUGAACCACAGGAAUCAUGAAAAAUUGAUAUGAAUGAUUGUUGUUCUUUUAAGUAACUAAGUUUUGAGAUGAUUUGCUACCUGGCAUUGAAUAAGUAACGUACAAUGUUUGUAAAUUUUAAAUCAGAAAGUAGUGAAUUAUAAAUAAAAGCUCUGUUUAAUAUUUUU